UACGUAGGGUGCAAGCGUUGUCCGGAAUUAUUGGGCGUAAAGAGCGUGUAGGCGGCCUGUUAAGUCUUGCGUGAAAUCUCGGGGCUUAACCCCGAGCCUGCAGUGGAUACGGGCAGACUAGAGGUAGGUAGGGGAGAAUGGAAUUCCUGGUGUAGCGGUGAAAUGCGCAGAUAUCAGGAGGAACACCGGUGGCGAAGGCGGUUCUCUGGGCCUUACCUGACACUGAGGAGCGAAAGCGUGGGGAGCGAACAGG
rnacentral:rRNA from 1 species